GACGAACGCUGGCGGCGCGCUUAACACAUGCAAGUCGAACGGAAAGGCCUGCUUUCCCUUGUGGAUUUCGGGUACUCGAGUGGCGAACGGGUGAGUAACACGUGAGUGAUCUUCCCCCAACUUGGGUAUAAGCCUGGGAAACUGGGUCUAAUUCCCGAUAGUACUGCAGUGUGGUGCCUGUCGUGGAAAACGAUUUUCUAGUGGUUGGGGAUGAUCUCGCGGCCUAUCAGCUUGUUGGUGGGGUAAUGGCCUACCAAUGCGGCGACGGGUAGCCAGCCUGAGAGGGAGGACGGGCAAAUUGGGACUGAGAAGCAGAAAAGACUCCUACGGGAGGCAGCAGAGGGGAAUAAUGCACGAUGGGCGGAAGCCUGAUGCAGCGACGCCGGGGGGGGGAUGACGGCCUUCGGGUUGUAAACUCCUUUAGUCCGAGAGGAAGCCACCUAGUUGGAAGGGUGGUGACGGUAGUGGUAGAAGAAGCACCGGCUAACUACGUG
rnacentral:rRNA from 1 species